rnacentral:rRNA from 1 species
UACGUAGGUGGCAAGCGUUGUCCGGAUUUACUGGGCGUAAAGAGCGCGCAGGCGGUCGAAUAAGUCGAAUGUGAAAGCCCCCGGCUUAACUGGGGAGGGUCAUUCGAUACUGCUCGACUUGAAGGCAGGAGAGGGUAGUGGAAUUCCCGGUGUAGUGGUGAAAUGCGUAGAUAUCGGGAGGAACACCAGUGGCGAAGGCGGCU